rnacentral:misc_RNA from 1 species
GAUGAAGAACGUAGCGAAAUGCGAUACUUGGUGUGAAUUGCAGAAUCCCGUGAACCAUCGAGUCUCUGAACGCAAGUUGCGCCCGAAGCCACUAGGCCGAGGGCACGCCUGCCUGGGCGUCACACGUCGUUGCCCCCCCAUCUACUCCUUCGGGAUUGCGGGGGGGCGGAUGAUGGCCUCCCGUGCGCCUAGCCGCGCGGUUGGCAUAAAUACCAAGUCCUCGGCGACGCACGCCACGACAAUCGGUGGUUGCGAAACCUCGGUUGCCCGUCGUGUGCGUUCGUCGCGCAUCGAGGGCUCGAAAAAAUGCUCGGCUCCGGCUGGGCUUUCAACGCGACCCCAGGUCAGGCGGGGUUACCCGCUGAAUUUAAGCAUAUCAAUAAGCGGAGGA